CGAAGGUGACUUGUAGGUCCUCUUCUCUCCCUUAGAUUGCACUCAAAACUAGACUCUAAUUCCUAUGUACCGGAAAUAGUAUAAUUUCAAAUUUCAUAAUUACUGAAGUUUUUUUAUCACACUUUAAUAUUUGUCAACAGGUGUACUUAGCAAUGGUGCAAAUCAUGCCCAUCCACGAGAUCUUGGCCUCAUCGCCGAUUGAGAAGAUGACGUUGCAAAUAUUUCAGACUUGUAGAGCCCUCGAGCACCUCCAUCUCUUGUUCAGUUGCUUAUAUUAGUCAUAUGUUCCCUAUGUUUAAAUUUGAUAGUAGAUUGAGGCAACAUAUAAACUUCAGGUCAAAAUAAGAAGAGAUAAAGGAAGAACAAUCAAAUGAGAAACCUUUUCAGUCAGUAUAGAAUGACAUCUUUUUUCUUUCAGUUCAGGUUCAGCGACACAUGCAUGUAAGAAUACAUUGCAGACUAAUCUUUGUUGUGGCCUGAGUGUGAAUUAUUUUAUUUUUGAAAAAAAACAG
rnacentral:lncRNA from 1 species